rnacentral:snoRNA from 1 species
GCAUGGGUUUGGAUUUAUGGCAGGCCUGUCCACUGGGCCUUUCAAAGUGCCCAUGCCAGAGCAAACUGUGGCUCUGAACCAUUGCCUGGCCUGUGCCUGUAGGCUGCUGAUACUGAAGCAGGUUGCUCAGUG